rnacentral:rRNA from 1 species
ACAGAGGGUGCAAGCGUUAAUCGGAGUUACUGGGCGUAAAGGGCGCGUAGGCUGGUAUUUAAGUCAAUUGUGAAAUCCCUGGGCUUAACCUAGGAAUUGCAGUCGAUACUGAAUAUCUUGAGUAUGGUAGAGGAAAGUGGAAUUCUCGGUGUUCGGUUUUCAUACGUAUAUCUCGAGAUGAACCCCGGUGGCGCAGGCGACUUUCUGGACCAAUACUCUCUCUAGUCCGCGUAACCGUUGUUAACACCCAG